UACGUAGGGUGCGAGCGUUAAUCGGAAUUACUGGGCGUAAAGCGUGUGCAGGCGGUCUGUUAAGACAGGUGUGAAAUCCCCGGGCUUAACCUGGGAAUGGCGUUUGUUACUGGCAGACUAGAGUGCGUCAGAGGGGGGUGGAAUUCCACGUGUAGCAGUGAAAUGCGUAGAGAUGUGGAGGAACACCGAUGGCGAAGGCAGCCCCCUGGGAUGACACUGACGCUCAUACACGAAAGCGUGGGGAGCAAACAGG
rnacentral:rRNA from 1 species